UUGCUUUGGCAGCAUAUAUACUAAAAUCAGGAGACUACCGAGUAGAUUGGCGUGGCCUUUUAAAAUAGGAUGAUAUGCAAAUUUCUGAAGUGUUCCAUAUUCUU
rnacentral:snRNA from 1 species